CAUUGCAAAAGACUUCAAACAUCCAAUCUUUUUCUACUGCCUAAGCCUAGAGUUGUCUUUGUAACUUCAGAACCUCUACUCAUUUCAUGCAACUGUCGAAUAGAUCACGCCCUGACAGGAUAGUCGAUUUUCUUAACCGGGUCCAUUACAUCUAACAUUAAGCAGGUGUCCAAGGACAAACAACCCAACAGGCCCCCAUCGAAUAAGGUUAAUGAGGAUUGAACCCUUGCCAUCCCCGAAUCAUUUACUUUUUGUCAGGUGUUGGAUAGAAGAAUCUGAAAGGGUUAACCCAGCAACCGAUAGAAGUGCUUGGACCAAUAUACAUGAAAGCUUCAACGCACGCACCAAUGCUGAUCCACGAAGCGUAUCUCAACUACUAGGUCACUUCCAAAAAAUUCGCAAUGAAUGUAACCAGUUUCAGGCAAUUUAUAGGAGGUUGAAUGCCCAAAUUCAUUCUGAUGAGUUGCUCUAUGCAACGGCGCAACGGGAGUACCGCGAGAAUUAUGGAAAAGGGCUUCAGAUACGAGCAUUGUUUCAGGGAGCUUAUCACGGUUUCCCACUUUCGUUUUCAUUAAGUCUGGUUUAUGUAUUCUAAUAAUUAAGUCUGUUUUAUGUAUUUUGAUUUAAGUGUGUUUUAUGUAUUGU